rnacentral:rRNA from 1 species
AGCAGCCGCGGUAAUACGAAGGGACCUAGCGUAGUUCGGAAUUACUGGGCUUAAAGAGUUCGUAGGUGGUUGAAAAAGUUGGUGGUGAAAUCCCAGAGCUUAACUCUGGAACUGCCAUCAAAACUUUUCAGCUAGAGUAUGAUAGAGGAAAGCAGAAUUUCUAGUGUAGAGGUGAAAUUCGUAGAUAUUAGAAAGAAUACCAAAUGCGAAGGCAGCUUUCUGGAUCAUUACUGACACUGAGGAACGAAAGCAUGGGUAGCGAAGAGGAUUAGAUACCCUCGUAGUCCAUGCCGUAAACGAUGUGUGUUAGACGUUGGAAAUUUAUUUUCAGUGUCGCAGCGAAAGCAAUAAACACACCGCCUGGGGAGUACGACCGCAAGGUUAAAACUCAAAUGAAUUGACGGGGACCCGCACAAGUAGUGGAGCAUGUGGUUUAAUUCGAAGAUACGCGCAGAACCUUACCGACACUUGACAUGUUCGUCGCGACUUUAAGAGAUUAAAGUUUUCGGUUCGGCCGGACGAAACACAGGUGCUGCAUGGCUGUCGUCAGCUCGUGUCGUGAGAUGUUGGGUUAAGUCCCGCAACGAGCGCAACCCUCACUUUUAGUUGCCAUCAUUUAGUUGGGCACUCUGAAAGAACUGCCAGUGAUAAGCUGGAGGAAGGUGGGGAUGACGUCAAGUCCUCAUGGCCCUUACGUGUUGGGCUGCACACGUGCUACAAUGGUAUCUACAACAGGAAGCAAAACUGCGAGGUUUAGCAAAUCCUUAAAAGAUACCUCAGUUCGGAUUGCACUCUGCAACUCGAGUGCAUGAAGCUGGAAUUACUAGUAAUCGUGGAUCAGCGUGCCACGGUGAAUGCGUUCCCGGGUCUUGUACACACCGCCCGUCACACCAUGGGAGUUGGUUCUACCUUAAGGCAAGGUUUCAAACCCUUGACCACGGUAUAGUCAGCGACUGGGGUGAAGUCGUAACAAGGUAGCCG